rnacentral:rRNA from 1 species
AUUGAACGCUGGCGGAAUGCUUUACACAUGCAAGUCGAACGGUAGAGGGGGCAACCCCUCGAGAGUGGCGAACGGGUGAGUAAUGUAUCGGAACGUGCCCAGUCGUGGGGGAUAACGUAGCGAAAGCUACGCUAAUACCGCAUACGAUCUAUGGAUGAAAGCGGGGGAUCGCAAGACCUCGCGCGAUUGGAGCGGCCGAUAUCAGAUUAGGUAGUUGGUGGGGUAAAGGCCCACCAAGCCUGCGAUCUGUAGCUGGUCUGAGAGGACGACCAGCCACACUGGAACUGAGACACGGUCCAGACUCCUACGGGAGGCAGCAGUGGGGAAUUUUGGACAAUGGGCGCAAGCCUGAUCCAGCAAUGCCGCGUGCAGGAUGAAGGCCUUCGGGUUGUAAACUGCUUUUGUACGGAACGAAACGGCUUUUUCUAAUACAGAGAGCUAAUGACGGUACCGUAAGAAUAAGCACCGGCUAACUACGUGCCAGCAGCCGCCGUAA